UACGAAGGGGGCUAGCGUUGUUCGGAUUUACUGGGCGUAAAGCGCACGUAGGCGGAUCUUUAAGUCAGAGGUGAAAUCCCAAGGCUCAACCUUGGAACUGCCUUUGAUACUGGGGAUCUCGAGUUCGGGAGAGGUGAGUGGAACUGCGAGUGUAGAGGUGAAAUUCGUAGAUAUUCGCAAGAACACCAGUGGCGAAGGCGACUUACUGGACACAUAUUGACGCUGAGGUGCGAAAGCGUGGGGAGCAAACAGG
rnacentral:rRNA from 1 species